GACGUAGGGUCCGAGCGUUGUCCGGAAUUACUGGGCGUAAAGAGCUCGUAGGUGGGUUUGUCGCGUUGUUCGUGAAAACUCACAGCUUAACUGUGGGCGUGCGGGCGAUACGGGCAGACUGGAGUACUGCAGGGGAGACUGGAAUUCCUGGUGUAGCGGUGGAAUGCGCAGAUAUCAGGAGGAACACCGGUGGGCGAAGGCGGGUCUCUGGGCAG
rnacentral:rRNA from 1 species